ensembl:lncRNA
AAGCAAACAGGCCUCCCAUUGUCUGUUGGGAAGCAGGUCACAGUCAAGGCCCAGGCUGCACCCACCUGAGGUCAGGAUGAAGGCCAAGGGAGGUUGGAGCAUCCUGGCACCAGGAUUCUCCAGGCAAGAAUGCUAGAGUGGAUUGCCAUUUCCUUCUCCAGGGGAUCUUCCUGACCCAGGGAUUGAACCCAGGCCUCCGGCUUCACAGGCAGCCUCUUUACCAGUUGAGCCACCAAGGAAGGAUGGAUAACAACAAGGCCCUGUUGUCUAGCACAU